GUUGGGGAACGACGACCCAAGGGUUUUGGUGUCGUCCAUCGGUACUGAAACACUCGAGGAUGGGAAGAGAGGGAGCGAAUGGCGGUGACGGAGGUUAGGGUUACGGCGAUGGAAGAGAGAAAGGGAGUUGCCAUGGAAAUGCUCUUGAAGCGGCAAUUGAACAUGUGGAUUGCAAAAAACCUGAGGGGAUCCUGAUGGUAUAUUACGAUAGUAAUUACAUAGUUUUCAAUCUGAAUCUUAAACGAUUGCUGCUCGGAUUUCUGUUCUUCCUCUCUCUUUUCCUCGCCGUCUCUUCUCUGCUGCUUUGCUCAUUCGCUUCCUCCGGAGCCUUGUGAUGAUGUUUUUCUGAAGGUUUCUCUCCGUCCUCUCCUUAAUCCUUUUGAAGAGGAACCAAUAAUUUUGUUGAAGUAUUAGCAAGCAUGGUGACAUUGCUACUAUAUGUUUGGAUCAUUUGGUCUUGAAACUUGAUUCAAAUUGUAAGAGUAACCUACAUUUGAGGCCAGUGCGAAGCCUCUGGCCAACUGUGGCGGUACAAUUUCAUGCCAGGUAUAGAAAAAGGGGUUAACUUACAAAGGUGUAGUGACUCAUAAAACCAUUUUUGGAACUCUUUCAUGCCUUUUUUGCUUGUCCACCACGCAUGAAGGAGAAAGAGUCGUAUUUGAGCUUAUUUGGCACAAUUUUGUGCUGAAUUUUCUAUUGCCUUGCCAUAGUUAUGGUAGGACUAAAUUUAUUGGACUUUAGUGUCCUCUCUGUUACAAACUGGAUUUCUUUUUCUUGUUAUCUUUGUUAUGUAAUUCUAUGCCCUCUGACCAAUGCUCGUUUAUUGGGCUUUAUUGUCCUCCGCAAUAUUUCCAUGUAAUUGGAGAUGGAUAAUCAAAUGGAUUAUGGAAUUGUGCUGGUUAGCUUGAGAACAAAAAAUUUAAGCUGGUUACAAUUAGGCAACUUCAACUAUCUUUGUGAAAAACAGAGAAACCCCUCCGAACUCUAGCUUCACUUAGUAGAUUGACUUGGUUGAUACCAUGGUCAACGGCGAUAAGACUUUGUUUUAGAAACUUCAGCAACUAAUUUUAUACAUUUUUGUACUGUAGGUUGCAUUUCUUAUGCACAAUACACUUGCCCUUAGCCAACAGGUUUAGAAAGGUAUGAGGUUGCUUUUUUUUUUGUGAAAAUGGACAUCUAGCGAAAUGUUAGGUUUGGGGCUCAUACAGGAGGAAACUGUGAUCAUAAAUUUAGGUUAUUCAUUCCAUCGUGUGUAAAUUUUCAUUUUCAUUUUCAUUUAUACUGAAAUAUAUUUAGGUAUUCUUGUUUACAUGCUGCAUCGUGGCCCUUUCUUUUUGUAUUUGUUGAUAUUUAGUGCAGGUAAUCAGAUUGUGAGUGGGUAAAAAAUGCAAGUUUAUCAUUCAUAUCUGAUACAUCCAAUUUAUUGACCGGAUUUCACAAUGAUUUGCUUGCACGUAUCCUGAGGCAACACAAGAGGAGAAGAUGCUUGAAGGAAAGGAAACACAAUUGUUUGUAAGCCUAUACCAUGGAAAUAAAGAUCGUGCUAAACAAAUUUUUCCUUGACCAGAAUAUUGUAAUUUUCAUGCAGGUGUUGUAAAUGUGUAUGAACUGUAAUGUGAAUUGCUUUAAUUAUAUGUUUAAAUCAAUCUCGUGUUUUACUUAGUUCAUGGGAGGCUGCGGUGGUCGUGCAAUAUGAAGAGCAGUGAAACUAAAUGAUUGGCCUGCGCCUUCCGAUGAGUAUGAAUUAUUGGUGCGUUAAAGUAAUGGAAGAAUAUUAAGUGUGAGUGGAAAGCCAGCUUUACAAAGAUGACCUCUGAGCUGCCUGAUGCAUGCACCCUUCGCACCAUUAUCGGGAUACAGAUACGUUUCAUCACCUGGACCUUCGUCUAAUUAUUUCUCUUACUCAUUAUGUAAUAAUACUUGUGUGUUGUGAUCUUAGUUAAGGAUAUUUGACUUAAAUCACUGAAGCUAUGUUCAGAUUGAUGCUUAAUUUUCACCAGUUUUUGACAACUGCGUAAUUCCUCAUACAGGUUGGUGGUGCUUACUUGGAAUGGUCUGUUUUAAAGAUGAUCCUUCCUUUUCUAAAUGGAUCUACGUAACAUUGGGGGAAAAUUGAUAGAGAAAUUUGCAGAAGGAUGAUUUGAUUGGCCCUGUUGUUUGGGUGAAAUUUUUUACGGUAAAGCAAGGUACCCUCUUCGAACUCGAGACUUUUGUAAUGAGUUCAAGUUAGGAAUCAUCUUCGGACACGUGGUUAUUUGAAGCUUACAGGAAAGGUCCCUUCUGCCCUUCCAUUUUCUGGUUGUAUAUAAUUUUAAGAAAAAGAAAAUCAUUUUUACUCCUUACUAUAAAUUUUUAAUUUCACUAAUUCGCAGUAAUAAAAGAUAAUG